CCUACGGGUGGCAGCAGUGGGGAAUAUUGGACAAUGGGGGCAACCCUGAUCCAGCCAUGCCGCGUGUGUGAAGAAGGCCCUCGGGUUGUAAAGCACUUUCAGUGAGGAAGAACGCCUGGUGGUUAAUACCCAUCAGGAAAGACAUCACUCACAGAAGAAGCACCGGCUGACUCCGUGCCAGCAGCCGCGGUAAUACGGAGGGUGCGAGCGUUAAUCGGAAUUACUGGGCGUAAAGCGCGCGUAGGUGGCUUGAUAAGCCGGUUGUGAAAGCCCCGGGCUCAACCUGGGAACGGCAUCCGGAACUGUCAAGCUAGAGUGCAGGAGAGGAAGGUAGAAUUCCCGGUGUAGCGGUGAAAUGCGUAGAGAUCGGGAGGAAUACCAGUGGCGAAGGCGGCCUUCUGGACUGACACUGACACUGAGGUGCGAAAGCGUGGGUAGCAAACAGGAUUAGAUACCCCGGUAGUC
rnacentral:rRNA from 1 species